AUUCUCCCUCUUGCAUUGCCGAUGGUUCGGCAACAGCCCGUAGCCAGGGUGUCAAGGCUGCCGCGGGUUUCACCCACGCCACCCGCCAGUUCGCCUCGGCAUCUCACCGGCGAACGCUGCCCACUGGGCAUCGAUGC
rfam:Marinomonas aquimarina strain CECT 5080 genome assembly, contig: 0018